CAGUUGCAAGAGCACUCCACUUCCAACCAACAGAUUGGGAGUUCAAGCCAUCAAGGCAAAAAAGGGGAAAGGGUCACAGUGGCGCCAUAUCAAUAUACUUACAUACAUCUAUAAUUUGUUUGAUAGGUAAAAGGAAUAAAUAUACACAAACACACAUACAUACAAACAUACAUACACACACAUAUACAUAUAACUGCAGAUUAAAAUUCCUCCAAAACAGUUACCGAGGAUCCAACUUGAGUCUGGCAGUCACUCAAGUUUCUGUAGACUCCAACAAGAUCUCCUUUCUUAACAACAAAGAAGCCAUUAUCUUCCUUCAUUAUUGGAGUAGGAUCAAACUUUCUGAAAGAGAACUAUCUCCACUACACUUGUUAGAUGCUAACUCGUAUUCAGCAAAAGUCAAAAUCAACUUCUAAUUCAAGCAUGAGCAAAAGCUUGCACCGG
rnacentral:lncRNA from 1 species